rnacentral:rRNA from 1 species
UGGUUAAUAUUCCAAUACCGACUAUGGAGCGUGAUGGGGGGACGCAUAGGGUUAAGCGAGCUAGCUGAUGGAAGCGCUAGUCUAAGGGCGUAGAUUGGAGGGAAGGCAAAUCCACCUCUGUAUUUGAAACCCAAACAGGCUCUUUGAGUCCUUUUAGGACAAAGGGAGAAUCGCUGAUACCGUCGUGCCAAGAAAAGCCUCUAAGCAUAUCCAUAGUCGUCCGUACCGCAAACCGACACAGGUAGAUGAGAUGAGUAUUCUAAGGCGCGUGAAAGAACUCUGGUUAAGGAACUCUGCAAACUAGCACCGUAAGUUCGCGAUAAGGUGUGCCACAGCGAUGUGGUCUCAGCAAAGAGUCCCUCCCGACUGUUUACCAAAAACACAGCACUUUGCCAACUCGUAAGAGGAAGUAUAAGGUGUGACGCCUGCCCGGUGCUCGAAGGUUAAGAGGAUGCGUCAGUCGCAAGAUGAAGCGUUGAAUUGAAGCCCGAGUAAACGGCGGCCGUAACUAUAACGGUCCUAAGGUAGCGAAAUUCCUUGUCGGUUAAAUACCGACCUGCAUGAAUGGCGUAACGAGAUGGGAGCUGUCUCAACCAGAGAUUCAGUGAAAUUGUAGUGGAGGUGAAAAUUCCUCCUACCCGCGGCAAGACGGGAAGACCCCGUGGACCUUU